GGUCCCGUAGCUCAGCAGGAUAGAGCAUCAGAUUCCUAAUCUGAGGGUCGCGUGUUCAAAUCACGCCGGGAUCACCA
rnacentral:tRNA from 2 species